rnacentral:rRNA from 1 species
GACGAACGCUGGCGGCGUGCUUAACACAUGCAAGUCGAGCGGUAAGGCCCCUUCGGGGGUACACGAGCGGCGAACGGGUGAGUAACACGUGAGCAACCUGCCCUUCACAUCGGGAUAACCCCGGGAAACCGGGGCUAAUACCGGAUACGACCACCGACGGCAUCGUCUGGUGGUGGAAAGUUCCGGCGGUGGAGGAUGGGCUCGCGGCCUAUCAGCUUGGUUGGUGGGGUAACGGCCCACCAAGGCGACGACGGGUAGCCGGCCUGAGAGGGUGACCGGCCACACUGGGACUGAGACACGGCCCAGACUCCUACGGGAGGCAGCAGUGGGGAAUAUUGGACAAUGGGCGAAAGCCUGAUCCAGCAACGCCGCGUGAGGGAUGACGG